rnacentral:rRNA from 1 species
AGAGUUUGAUCCUGGCUCAGAUUGAACGCUGGCGGCAUGCCUUACACAUGCAAGUCGAACGGCAGCAUGAUCUAGCUUGCUAGAUUGAUGGCGAGUGGCGAACGGGUGAGUAAUACAUCGGAACGUGCCCUGUAGUGGGGGAUAACUAGUCGAAAGAUUAGCUAAUACCGCAUACGACCUGAGGGUGAAAGUGGGGGACCGCAAGGCCUCAUGCUAUAGGAGCGGCCGAUGUCUGAUUAGCUAGUUGGUGGGGUAAAGGCCCACCAAGGCGACGAUCAGUAGCUGGUCUGAGAGGACGAUCAGCCACACUGGGACUGAGACACGGCCCAGACUCCUACGGGAGGCAGCAGAAGG